rnacentral:lncRNA from 1 species
GGCGCCACGGUAUUUUCAGCGCUUAACCACGGCGGCACGCGUAUCAGCACAAGCCUUCGGGUUAUCGCACGUAGGACAGGCGUAGCAGUGCGUUUGCGUUAACUCUUGAUUACUUUGGAUAGUAAUAGGGGGCUCCCAGGUAAAGCGCACAUCCCAGGCUUGAUAUCGGUUGGCAGCGUGGCUCUUCAAGGACCUCCAGUCUCAUACUCGUAAGCUUAGCCCGAAACGGCCGUCGUAACCAACCUGCCAAGAUUCAAUCAUCACAGCAACAGUGAUGCUUCUCACAAGAACUCUUCUGAGAAAGCCCAAAUCAAAGAACGUGAUGGUUGUGAUCCAGAGCAUGAUAACAGGGCACAAAAGGGUUGCUAUUAGAGCCAGACUCGAUGACAAGGUAGAAAAGGUCGACUUUGACCCCUUCAUUCAGAUGGACGCGCCAUACAAAGAAUUGAAGCGGUUACGGAGCAUGGGAAAGAAGGAGUAGUGCGUCAUAUAUGUUGUGUUUGCCCAUUGGAAUAGCUCGCACAUGAUGUAUCGCCUGUGCACGGCUUAGUCAUGUCCGACAGGCCCCUGCGUGCUGUGCACGGAACAGUGGAAAGCGAUUUCUCAACGUCGGCUUGUGUUUAUCAGGCGCAUGACCUGACCCGUGGCAUGCCAUAGCUCGGCGGUCUUCUUGCAAUAUAUCGCUCGACAGAAACUUGAGUCCCUUUUCUGACGGCCUGCCGUCUGAUUUGAGGCCAUUCGACACCAAGCUCACGCGCUAGCAGCAAAGGUGCACCGCCGACCGCCGGCUGACGCCAGUGAGCGUUGCGAUACGUCCGCUUGCAGCUUCCCUCCGUACCCACCCCCUCGUCCCGUUCGGGGUCAGGGGGGAUCGAGUGUAAACACGGCUGCCUGCGGUGAUACGUGCCCGGAGGGCACCUCGAGUCAGUGCGAGAGUGAACUCCAACGGCGGAGGCACGCUCGGGCAGCUCGGAACGUGCCGCACAGCAUAUUUUGCAGCUCGCGGCCGUCUGGCCCAGCGGACGGCGCCGCGGCACCGCUGGACGAGUCCACCCGCGCGGAACGGCCCUGGACAUGGACUCGCCUGGCUCGCCGGCUCCGACCGUGGCGGCGGCCGUGCAGACGUUCGCGGAGGGCGCCAGAGCCCUGGCACGGGCGGCCGACGCCGAGCUGGCUCGAGUUUCCGUCGCCGACUUUGCAUCCAACAAGAUCAGCAUGCUGGGAAAGCUCGCUGAAUUGUAUGAAGAGCUGUUUCUAAGGUGUGGUGUUACAUCCAGGAGGCAUUUAGACGAAUGGACUUCUAGCGAUGGCAGCAAAGAAUCAGUUUCAACCAUGGAGUCUCUCGCGCGAGCCGAGGACGAGUGGGACGCGUUCGUGACGUCACUGUCAGGCCGUCUGGGCCCGGCGGCGCUGCAGUCGCCGCCGCUGCUCAGCACGGCGCCGACGGGACUGGUGCUGACGGACGCGGCGAGCGGACGCGCCUGUCGCCUGGCGGACACGCCCGGAACUCGGCUGCUGGUGCUGCUGCGCCACCUCGCCUGACUGCCGUGACGUGACCACGUGGCGCAGCUGCAGCAGCGACAGGCCGAGUUGGCGCGUCUCAGCUGCUCUGUGCUCGUGGUGUCGUUCGGCUCGGUCGAGGGCGGUCGCCGCUGGCUGGCCGACACCGGCUGUCCGUUCCCACUGCUGCUGGACCCGCAGCGCCGGCUGUACACCGCCCUCGGCCUCAACACCGCCCUGGAGGAGGUGUGGCAGCACGCUCCUCUGCAGCGACACGCCGAACAGAGGCUGGCCGGCGGCGGUGCCCCGUCGGCCGUCUACGCUGGGCCCGAGGACGACCCGCAUCAGCUGGGCGGCGACUUUAUUGUGGACGGUCGCGACCGGCUGACGCUGGUCCACUGCAGUGCCAGUCCUCCUGACCGGCCCUCAGUGCAGCGGCUUCUCGACACGCUUGGGAAACACGCCGCUGGGGAUCAGUAGGCCGACCAGUGGCGGUAGUCUUGCGGUGCCGGCCUUCAGCGCAGCGUCUGUUGGGGACUAGGAAGGGCGCAGCCAUUGUAUUCAGCACAGUCGCCUGCCGGAUCUGCAUAUGAACGUAGCAGCCUCUAGGAUCAGAAGGGCCAGUGCCGGCCUUCAGUACGGCAUAUGUCGCACACGCUUGGGGUGCGCACGCAGCUAGGAACCUGCAAAAAAAGCAGCAAUGGCCUUGAAUGUAGUAACAUGCUAACAUGCAUGGGAGGCACACCCAUAUGAUAAGGGAACCCUGCCGGGACUAGACUGUUGGGUCCCCCGGCUGGCCAGCGGAGAGCGGAGAGAGUGGCGGGCCCCGGGACGGUGGCGGUGGCCAGCAGCCGUGUGAUGCCGGCCGGCCAGACCCGGGCGCUCGGGAGCCGGCCGGCGGAGGUCAGCUGCCGGCCGCUGCCGCCACCCGGGCCCGCCAGGUUCGGCUCCGCGCGCGCAUCCCGCCUGCAGACACUGCAGUGGUGGGAGGAGGCCGUGUCAGGUGGCAGAGCUGCUGCUGCAGCUACGACAAUGCCAGCGAUGUCUCACGCAGCUGAUCUGACUGAAUAAAUCGGACAUUAAAUUAA